UGUUACCCAGCUGAAAGCUGUCCUGAAACAAGAAAUUACAUUAACAAAGACCCAAAGAAGAAAUUAAAACGUGAAGAAGAAUAUAAACUUUUCCAAGCAUGGGAAACUGAAGCUGAAAGGAGAACUGAAAAUAAGAAAAAGAAAGAGGAAAAUAAAAAACUAUUUCAAUGCACUUUCAUUAAAGGAUUACUACCACCCAUUAGGUCUCAUGUAGAAAAGCAUUGGGUAACGCAAGAUACGGGCACAGCAGAUGAGGCGUUUCAAUAUGUUAACCAUGCACAGACAGUGGUGAAACGGAAAGAGAAGGUCUCAGUUUUUGCCCUCGAUGCUGACACUGUUCUCACAGCUUUUAGUGGAGGCUACAGGGGAGGCUUCAGAGGCCAAAAGAGAGGGAGAGGAAUGCAUAGGGGAAGAGCAAGAGGUAGAGACAGACCUAGAUACACACCAAACAGUAAUUAUAGCACUACAUGCUGGAAGUGUGGAAAAGAGGGACAUUUUGCACGUGACUGUAAGAAACAAAGAAGACAGUGACUCAGAACAGGAUAGUAGCUCAGGUGAAGAGAACAGUUCAGAUUAGGAAGAACAUAAUAAUCCCUCACCAAGUAAAAAUUAGAGAUCCAAGUAUAAGUUUAAAAAGGGCUGGAAACAGACCCAACUGAAUACAUAUAAAUGCAAGAGGAAUAAAGUUAAAUAAAACAACUGUAAUGUAUUCAAAUUGAUAAAAGCAAGGAUAACAACCUGUAAACUGGUAUGAACAAUGAAACAUAGUUGGGAUGAAGACCGUGCCCAGACUGAAUAGAAUGAAAGAAAAUACAUAACUCACACAAACACAUAUUAAAUGAAAUAGAGAGAUGCAUAAGGUAUAUUAAGGUUUUGUCAUUGUUCAGCCAAGGAAAGUGUGUGAAAAGGAAAAUGUCUCCAGCUUGGGAAAGGGUGAAACUGCAGAUCACCCCCAUCCCUCGAUGGAUGCAAAAUAAAAUAUAAAUAAAAUAUUGUAAUAUACUAUUGCUGUUAUAUAAAAAGAUAAUAACAUUAAUAAUAACAUAAUAUUAAUAUGAAGAGGCACCUCAGUCAGCUAUGAUGUGAGGUGGAUAAUUGUUAAAAGUAGUCUGCAUCAAGCUUAAGGUUUGCUCAAAUUCAGUAUAAUGACAUAUGAGAUGAAGAAAAUAAAGAAAAUAUCUAAACUAAUUAAGUGCAUAGAGGCACUUGACCUGUUUGAAACCUGUCAUCCUAGAUGAGACAUUGCUGAAAUAUAGAGCACACCUAUACUAACAACUAACAAGCUAAACCCUGUAUACAACAGCUAAAGCUACACAAUUGAGAAGCUGAAUUAAAUAUAUGGUCACUGCUAAGCUGAUGAGCAGGAGCUGCAUAAGAACAC
ensembl:lncRNA